GGGCGUGAGCGGAAGAGGGCGCGGGCGCGCCCGGCCGUUCCCCCGCAGGCCGCGGUAGGUCGGCGGCGGCAAAGGGCGGGCAAGGCGGGCAGUGGCGGGCGGCUCCGCCCCGCCCCGCCCCGCCCCGCUGCUUCCCUGCCGGAUCCCUUCCCCUUCCUAUUGCAGAGCUCGACUGGGGUCCGUGUGUGCUCGCGCUUCGCGCCUCCCGCGCGUGGCUGCGGCCCGUGUUUCUGCGCGAGUGGCUGGGCCGUGCCGUGCCGUGCCGUGCCGUGGCUCCGCCGGCCCUCGCUGGCGAGGUGCUGCGCGUCUUGUGCUGUGCUAGGAGAGAGCCGCUGCUGGUGAAGAGCGUGGGGCAAGUAGUCUGCGCUAAGGCACCAGUGUGAGCUUCUGGCUGGCUUCCAGCGCCUUCCGCCCUGCUCUGCUCCGCUCCGCUCCGAACAGGGACGCGGCAGUGCCCUGGGCGAGGGAGGCCUGGCCUGGACUGGCCUGGCUGUCGCGUGCUGCCCUUUAGCUGAGUAAAACUGUACGGCUUCUCUUCGGGCAGCAGGUGGGGUGCCAUCAGAAGAGUCGUAUUUGAGUAGCAUCAGUAAAAGAAAAAAAUCUUGGAUGGAUUCAAAGAUCAAGGAAAAAUUUUCCAUUUAGAGCGCAACUUCAGAAUCCACAGGCCUUCAUCCUGCAGGCAAAUGUUCUACUCUACCAACAUAUGAUGAACUAAAAACCUCAACCAAACAACUCUACAGCUUGGAUUGAAUUGAAAAUAAAUAUUCUGAAGAUGGCUAUUAACUCAUGUUCUUCUGUUGUAAGACUUAAAUGAUAAGUAUUGAUGAUUCCUGGUACUGGGGUUUGGUAUCUUUAACCUAAAAGGUAACUCAGAAAUUGCCAAAGCAGGUUAUUCGAUAGUGGACUUGUUAACUGAAACAGGAGGCGGGCAGAGGUCACAGAACAUUCCUAAGCUCUAAAUAAAGGUAGGAAGGGAAAAUGAGAAUUUUAGGGUUUUAAAAUAUAAAUAUUUUAGUUGCAAAAAUUUAUUGAAUAACAUCAAGAUUAAAUUGCUUUGAUGUAAUAUGCUUGCACUGCAAAAUAUGAAUCAGAAAA
rnacentral:lncRNA from 1 species